AAACUAGAGGAUCAAAGUAGAGCUCAUUACUUGAGUAAUCAGGUGAUCAAAAGUAAGGAAAGGACUAAUUAAGGUUCAGGUUCCACUCCAGGGACGAGUUGAGCGAUCAAGAUAUCUCUAGAAGUAAAAAUGACCUAAGAUCAACUUUUGUAUGUCGG